rnacentral:rRNA from 1 species
GACAUGUAAUUUCAAAAUGUACAACCAAUUGGCAUGCAAGUGGAAGCUCAUUGAAAGAAUGCGUCGAAGAAGGUGAAAAUCCAUUUUGCCACUUGUAAUGUUGUUGUUUAUGGUGUAUAUUUCAGGAGUCACAUUCCUUGGCAUUGGAAUGCAAUGUGGGUGGUAAACUUCAUGCAAAGAUUAAUAUGUGUUUGAGAUUGAUAGUACACAAAUACCGUGAGGGAAAUAUGAAAAGGACUUUGAAAAGAGAUUUAAAAGAGUUUGCAGUUGCUGAACAAAAAACAAAUAGGAUGUCCACGAUUGAGCAGAUUGUUGAACCUCGGUUUGCUUCAAUUGCUAGCAUGUGUGUAUUCAAUGAUUCUAUCUUUGUCUACCAUACCAUUCUCAGCGUAUCAUGACACUUGCAGGUGCUUCGUGUUUUUGCUUGCGAGCUAAUGACAACACCUGCUUGAGAAUGGUAUGCCAAGUG